CGCACUCUAUUGGAUAUGGUGCGAUCUAUGAUGUCUCUUACCGAUUUACCGCUAUCAUUUUGGGGAUACGCUCUAGAGACAACUACAUUCACUUUAAAUAGGGCACCAUCUAAAUCCGUUGAGACAACACCGUAUGAAUUAUGGUUUGGGAAGAAACCUAAGCUGUCGUUUCUAAAAGUUUGGGGAUGCGAUGCUUAUGUCAAGAAACUUCAACCUGAAAAGCUCGAACCCAAGUCGGAAAAAUGCGUCUUCAUAGGAUACCCUAAGGAAACCAUUGGGUAUACCUUCUACCUUAGAUCCGAAGGCAAGAUCUUUGUUGCCAAGAACGGAUCCUUU
rnacentral:rRNA from 1 species